CAAAGCCACCUGACUGGUCAUCCGAUAAGGUUGCUAUGGGAUGCCUUUCUGUAUGCUGUGAAUGUGUGUUGCUCUGCUUGGUUGAUAAAUAAAGCUACAUUGGCCUACGGCAGGGCAGGAUGGAGCCAGGAAGGAAAAACCAAGGGAGAUGGAUUAGGAAAUCUAACACGUCUACAACUACGGUUCAUAUGUACUCCAUUAAAAUGGGGACAAGUCUCAGUAAGCAGGUAAUGUGGAGCUGUGCUAUUUCCUAGAGGACAUCAGCAGGUGUGCAAGCCCAUGUGAAAAGCCCGCGUGCUGAGAACUAGGGCCUCCUGCUGAGCCAACACCAACUACUCAUCGAAGAGAUGACAGGUGACUACCCAGCUGUGGUUGGCUCUCCUGGGAAGUGAAUCCUUAGCCCGCCAAUCCUCAGAUGACAUCAUACCAGCCUCAUCAAAAUUUCUAUCUAGGAUGAUCCUGCUAAGCUGACCUCAAGUUCCUGACCCACUCUGAGAGACCGUGAGAGAGAAUACAUAACUAUUUUGUUCUUUUAGGCCAGCAAGUUGGGAGUAAUUUGGUGUUAGAUAACUAACAGACUUCUGCUGUGUCUCAUUCCCUGCCCCUGGUGGGGAAAUGGGAGGCCGUGAUGCAUUCUUCCCAGGCUUUUGUCCUGAAUUGUCUCAGUUCUGAGCAUUUCCAGAAGGGAGGAAAUGGCCCUGCCGGAGACCCUCCUACCAUGUGGCAUCACCUUCCUGCAUGUCGCUGUCAUGGCCUCUUGAAAAUGUUUCUUCUCUGGACUGAAGAGUGUGCCUUAAGAUGGCCGUAGCUUGGUUUAGAGGAAUGCUUUUACUCCAUUUGCUCCUUCCUCCCGCAUUUCCCUGAGGACUCAGACAAGGGCCACAAGCUGACUAAUUUAACCAUCCUGCAGACAGGACUGAACACGUCUAGACUCAGGCUUGGGACCCACCGUCUUCCAAGUGAUAUAUUGCUGCAGGCAAAACCUGCACCUGGGCGGAGGGAAAGGCUAUGGAAUAUAAUCUUGUUCAAGCUUC